CAACGCUUUGCCGCAUUUUCUCGCUGGAGGAAGGCAAGAGUGAGACAGGAGAGGGAAGGAUGUGCGCUCUCUUCUGCGGCGGCGAAGAAGAAGGAUCCUCCCGAAAGUGGACUCUCUCCCCUUCCUUCGUUACGCCAGGCCAAGCAACCUUCAAUAAAGUAUCGUGUUCACACUACAGAAGUCUGACAAGGAUUCCCUUUAUUCAGAGCUGGAGCGGAGGCAAGAUGUUGGCAUAGCUGAUGAGUUAAGAACCUGCUAUGCCAACAUAUUGCCCUCUUUCCUGUCUGCUGGCCACAAAAACUCCCAUGUCUCGAUUCUUUCCAGUAACCUUCUUCAUAAAUACAAUAAUGUGAAAACAUCAACUGAUGAAUUUCGUAUGGAAAUAGAGAUUUGUUUGAUUCUUGUUACAUCUUCAAUCCAAGCGUCUAGGUUUCUCAAAUAAAUGCAGGUGAUAGGAUGAUAUUGCAAAUGUAUGUGUCCACAACAGUGAAUCCUGUGGAUGGACUUUGAAAGAUCUUCCUAAUACUCUGGAGUUGCCUGAUCAGCUUAUGCCAUAAGAGGUGCUUGUGACCCCAAAAUUUGCUCACUAAGUUUUUGGGAUGAUAAAAAAUGGGAGUGAAGUUGAUAGUGGGUGAGGCCAGAGCCAAAGCAGGCUAGAGUUAUCCUAUUUAUAUUUUUCCCAUCUUAUGAUGUGAGAAGCUACAAAAAUCUAGGUGGAGCUCAUGGAAUCUUGGGAAAGGGAGGGCUAUGAUAGAUGGUAUAUGAUCUUAUCUGUUAGGUGAGUAUAUGAGGUCAUCAGAAAAAGACAGGGCUAGCUAAACAUGGAAUGAGGGCCAAUUAGGGUGAGAGGAAUUGAUGAUAUAGGGUUUGGGAAACUGAAAAGUCUUCCUUUGUCUGAAACAAAGAUAUUGCUCUCCACUUCGUCUAUAAUCAGCAUAAGGCUAUAUGUUUGUUUCACUGUAUAUGUAAUAAAUAUUUAAUGUUUUAAUUUU